ACAGGAAAUUGACCUAUAAACUGACAGAUAAUACGGCUCCAUUUGUCUGUCAUUUCUGUAGGCCAAUAUUCUGC
rnacentral:pre_miRNA from 1 species